rnacentral:rRNA from 2 species
CAGAUAAGGAGCUUGCUCCUUUGACGUUAGCGGCGGACGGGUGAGUAACACGUGGAUAACCUACCUAUAAGACUGGGAUAACUUCGGGAAACCGGAGCUAAUACCGGAUAACAUAUUGAACCGCAUGGUUCAAUAGUGAAAGGCGGCUUUGCUGUCACUUAUAGAUGGAUCCGCGCCGUAUUAGCUAGUUGGUAAGGUAACGGCUUACCAAGGCAACGAUACGUAGCCGACCUGAGAGGGUGAUCGGCCACACUGGAACUGAGACACGGUCCAGACUCCUACGGGAGGCAGCAGUAGGGAAUCUUCCGCAAUGGGCGAAAGCCUGACGGAGCAACGCCGCGUGAGUGAUGAAGGUCUUCGGAUCGUAAAACUCUGUUAUCAGGGAAGAACAAAUGUGUAAGUAACUGUGCACAUCUUGACGGUACCUGAUCAGAAAGCCACGGCUAACUACGUGC